ACUGGAGGACCGAACCGACUACCGUUGAAAAGUUAGCGGAUGACCUGUGGAUCGGAGUGAAAGGCUAAUCAAGCUCGGAGAUAGCUGGUUCUCCUCGAAAGCUAUUUAGGUAGCGCCUCAUGUAUCACUGUAGGGGGUAGAGCACUGUUUCGGCUAGGGGGUCAUCCCGACUUACCAAACCGAUGCAAACUCCGAAUACCUACAAGUGCCGAGCAUGGGAGACACACGGCGGGUGCUAACGUCCGUCGUGAAAAGGGAAACAACCCAGACCGUCAGCUAAGGUCCCAAAGUUAUGGUUAAGUGGGAAACGAUGUGGGAAGGCAUAGACAGCUAGGAGGUUGGCUUAGAAGCAGCCAUCCUUUAAAGAAAGCGUAAUAGCUCACUAGUCGAGUCGGCCUGCGCGGAAGAUGUAACGGGGCUAAAACUAUAUGCCGAAGCUGCGGAUUUGCAAUUUAUUGCAAGUGGUAGGGGAGCGUUCUGUAAGCCGAUGAAGGUGUAUUGAGAAGUAUGCUGGAGGUAUCAGAAGUGCGAAUGCUGACAUAAGUAGCGAUAAAGGGGGUGAAAAGCCCCCUCGCCGUAAACCCAAGGUAUCCUACGCAACGUUAAUCGGCGUAGGGAGAGUCGGCCCCUAAGGCGAGGCUGAAAAGAGUAGUCGAUGGGAAACAGGUUAAAAUUCCUGUACCUUUAUAAGGUGCGAUGCAGGGACGGAGAAGGCUAGGUAGACCGGGUGUUGGAAAUCCCGGACCAAGCAUGUAGGCUAGUCUGGUAGGGAAGUCCGCCAGAUGUUGCUGAGGUGUGAUGGGGAGGCCCUGUAAUGGGGUUGAAGAAGCCGAUGCCCAGCUUCCAGGAAAAGCUGCUAAGCAUAACUUUAUAAAGACCGUACUGUAAACCGACACAGGUGGGUGAGAAGAGAAUUCUCAGGCGCUUGAGUGAACUCAGGAGAAGGAACUCGGCAAAAUAACACCGUAACUUCGGAAGAAGGUGUACCCUGAUAAGUUGAAGGCUGUACAGCUGGAGGCGUAAAGGGUGGAAGAAAGCAGGUGGCUGCGACUGUUUAAUAAAAACAUAGCACUCUGCGAACACGCAAGUGGAUGUAUAGGGUGUGACGCCUGCCCGGUGCCGGAAGGUUAAGUGAUGGAGUGAGAGCUCUUGAUCGAAGCCCCGGUAAACGGCGGCCGUAACUAUAACGGUCCUAAGGUAGCGAAAUUCCUUGUCGGGUAAGUUCCGACCCGCACGAAUGGCGUAACGAUGGCCACACUGUCUCCUUCUGAGACUCAGCGAAAUUGAAGUGUUUGUGAAGAUGCAAACUACCUGCGGCUAGACGGAAAGACCCCAUGAACCUUUACUGUAGCUUUGUAUUGAGCUUUGAACCGGCUUGUGUAGGAUAGGUGGGAGGCUUUGAAGCAGGCACGCCAGUGUCUGUGG
rnacentral:rRNA from 1 species